GUGCUCGCUUCGGCAGCACAUAUACUAAAAUUGGAACGAUACAGAGAAGAUUAGCAUGGCCCUUGCACAAGGAUGACAUGCAAAUUCAUGAACCAUUCCAUAUUUUU
ensembl:snRNA U6 U6 spliceosomal RNA